ensembl:lncRNA
AUAUUGUGAAUUCCUAAGGCCAGUAACCUCCUAAAUCAAUCAAAUAAAUUAAUUAACUAUCAGAGAAUUACUGGACCAGCUCUCCAUCUAACGGGUCCGGUUCCCGUAGCCCAUAUGGGUCAACCCAGAUGAGAUCUGAGGAACGUUUUUAAGCUGGUAAGCGAGAAAAUUCGCCUAGCUUCUAACUGCCUCCAUCCAGACGCCUAUCCUGCUUCCUCUGAUAACUAACUCAACUGAGUAGCCACUUUCGAAUGGUCAAAUUAAUUACCAGUCACGUCUGUUAACGGCAGCUUUUCUCUCAUCGGAUUCUGCACUUGGUAAGUUGCUAGGUUUAAAUUUAGAGGUUAAGGCACGGAUAACCCCAAGGAUAAGUUUAAAAAAGGCCACCCUCGGCCCCAACGACUAGGUAAUCUGACAGAACCAGUUUUAGAUGUAAUGCACACAAUAACCUGACUUUUUACAAACUGAGAAGAUAUAUGUGAUUAAUUCAUCAUCAUGAUAAAAAUAAAUAGAAUUUCCAAUCUGUUAACUUUAAUUGCAGGAUAAAUGUUUUAUUAUAAUUUCAGCAAGGGCGUAGCAUAAGCUCCUAAAUCACAACACUCAAUCAAACAUUAAUAUUCUUCCAAUUGCUUAACAUGACUCAUAAGUGGAACUAUGCUUUCAUAUAAGAGAAGUAAUAAUCACCCAAACUAUGUAAUUUGGAGGGGGAGAGCAGACGGGGUGCACAACCGGCUGCUCACCUGAAGACCGAUGCCCCGCUGGGGCUCUGCUCCAGGGAGGAGGUGGAGGGGGUUCGGUCCAGAUUUAGAUCUGCUUGUAUCCAUUUUUGUUCUUUGGGCCAGUAAAAACUUUGUUAAUCCAUUCUGGUGUUAAUCCUUUGGAAAUAGUAGAGUUCAGUUAUAUUCCUUCAGUCAGCGUUAUUUUUAGAUCACAGUCUUUUGUAAUCCUCAAACAGUGCAGAAAGAGCACUCCUUCAGUCCAUAAUUCCCAUAGAACAGAUAUUCCUUUGCAGAUCAUGUUGAAUCCCCCGUCCGAGUUACGUGGUAAAAUCCCCUUUGCUCAGAGCAUUUCUACCCUGGCUUGCAACGAGUGACCACCUCGCAACGACUCCCAGCUCGUGUCUCGAUCCAGUGCAAUUUAUACAACAACUGAACCUGUUGCAUAUGCAAGAACUGCACCCUUAAUUAACAUACGUGAUGACAGCAUCCAUCCCCCUCCUUACUCGUGCACUGCUCCCAUCCACUGACCUCAUGGCCUCUGCGUGCUCUGGGGGAACCAAAACCUUGGACCGCCCGGCCACCGCCCGGCCCCUGCGUGCUCUGGAGGAACCAAAACCUUGGACUGUUUUGCCCUUUCACCCAGUCUCAACUUUCCAUUACUGUAUUUGUUCCAUCCACAGCUAAGAGCAGGCCUCCGGUCGGGAAACAGAUGUCAGACUCACAAAAAUCCCUGACAUUUAUUUUGAGCUUAAUAACCUUCACUGUGAACACUUGACCCCAGUUCACCUCAGCUCUUGACUUCUCACUUCAUUACUAAGUUAAAAACCUUAGUUUUAACAGUAAUCAAGACUCUUUCUAAAACAUCUCAGUUUCAUAGUAAUCAAAACUCUUAAAAGCAUUUCCAUUCAAUAAAGCAUUAGUUCCUCAUAUUUGUCAUAUCAAAAACAUCAGUUUCCCUGGUAACCAAAACAUCACUUUUCACAGUGAGUUGCUGUUCUGACUUAGUUACUUCUUAAACAAAGAUUAUAAAAAUAGGUAUUUGAGUUAGCUUUAACACACUUAUUAGGUUAUAGCAUGAAUCAGUUAUAAAUCACAGGUUAUAACAUCACAAUGUUCCCUUAUUUAGCUGUUAUUCUGCCAGAGUCUCCCCCUUGUGGCUGAUUCUGGGAUCUCAUACCUCCAUGUUUCUCAACA